rnacentral:rRNA from 1 species
UGAGUAACACGUAUCCAACCUGCCGUCUACUCUUGGACAGCCUUCUGAAAGGAAGAUUAAUACAAGAUGGCAUCAUGAGUUCACAUGUUCACAUGAUUAAAGGUAUUCCGGUAGACGAUGGGGAUGCGUUCCAUUAGAUAGUAGGCGGGUAACGGCCCACCUAGUCUUCGAUGGAUAGGGGUUCUGAGAGGAAGGUCCCCCACAUUGGAACUGAGACACGGUCCAA